rnacentral:snRNA from 1 species
GGAUGUGAGGGUGAUCUGGCUGCGACAUCCAUCACCCCAUUGAUCCCCAGGGUUGAUUCGGCUGAUCUGGCUGGCUAGGUAGGUGUCCUCGUCCUCCCUCACUGCUCCAUGUGAGUCCCUUCUGAAGCUGAUGCUCGGUCAAAGAGGAUGACCUUCCCCAAUAGAGGAGAGAACCGUUCUUUGGUCAAGGGUAUACGAGUAGCUGCGCUCCCCUGCUAGAACCUCCAAUCAAUAUACUAGAGUGAUUUGAAAAUAAUAAUAAAAGUGAGAUAUUUCAUGGAAAAGUUUGGAGGUAAAGUCAGGACUGUAAUCCGCGAGUUAUCCUGGGGUAAACGC